UGCGUAGGCGGAUUAGUAAGUCAGUGGUGAAAGCCCAUCGCUUAACGGUGGAAUUGCCAUUGAUACUGCUAGUCUUGAGUAUGGUUGAGGUGGGCGGAAUGUGUCAUGUAGCGGUGAAAUGCUUAGAUAUGACCCAGAACACCAAUUGCGAAGGCAGCUCGCUAAACCAUAACUGACGCUGAUGCACGAAAGCGUGGGGAGCAAACAGGAUUAGAUACCCUGGUAGUCC
rnacentral:rRNA from 1 species